rnacentral:rRNA from 1 species
UUUCCGGUUGAUCCCGCCGGACCUGACUGCUAUCGGAUUGAUACUAAGCCAUGCGAGUCAUUGUAGCAAUACAAGGCAGACGGCUCUGUAACGCGUAGUCAACCUACCCUACGGACGGGAAUAACCUCGGGAAACUGAGAAUAAUCCCCGAUAGAACACUAUGCCUGGAAUGGUUUGUGUUCCAAAUGAUCCGUCGCCGUAGGAUGGGACUGCGGCCUAUCAGUUAGUUGGUGAGGUAAUGGCCCACCAAGACUAUUACAGGUACGGGCUCUGAGAGGAGUGGCCCGGAGAUGGGUACUGAGACACGGACCCAGGCCCUAUGGGGCGCAGCAGGCGAGAAAACUUUGCAAUGUGCGAAAGCACGACAAGGUUAAUCCGAGUGGUUCCUGCUAAAGGGACCUUUUGUCGGUCCUAGAAACACCGACGAAUAAGGGGUGGGCAAGUUCUGGUGUCAGCCGCCGCGGUAAAACCAGCACCUCAAGUGGUCAGGAUGAUUAUUGGGCCUAAAGCAUCCGUAGCCGGCUCUGUUAGUUUUCGGUUAAAUCUGUGCGCUCAACGUACAGGCUGCCGGGAAUACUGCAGAGCUAGGGAGUGGGAGAGGUAGACGGUACUCGGUAGGAAGGGGUAAAAUCCUUUGAUCUAUUGAUGACCACCUGUGGCGAAGGCGGUCUACCAGAACACGUCCGACGGUGAGGGAUGAAAGCUGGGGGAGCAAACCGGAUUAGAUACCCGGGUAGUCCCAGCUGUAAACCAUGCAAACUCAAUGAUGCAUUGGGUUGAUCCCAGUGCAGUGUUGCAGGGAAGCCGUUAAGUUUGCCGCCUGGGAAGUACGUACGCAAGUAUGAAACUUAAAGGAAUUGGCGGGGGAGCACCACAAGGGGUGAAGCCUGCGGUUCAAUUGGAUUCAACGCCGGGAA